CGCGGUAGGCCUUCGGUCCCAUUUUUCCAAGGAGUUCGGGUUCGGGCGCACCUUUGAACGCUGGAGAAUGGAGAAGAGCCGACUUGCGUGGAUGCGGUUCGGCUCUAAAGACCUUAGAGGUUUGAGAGCGAGACAAGGCCUGUCCCCUGAUCCCUGCAAACUAGGCCUCACUGUGAUGCUCCAGCAUCUCAUCACUAGGCCUGAGGAACCCAACGGUCGGCCUGGGUGAAUACAGGUUGUCCUGAAGGUGAUACAUUCAUCUGUUCUACAACUCCAUUCCCAACGUGAGGCUCGAGCUCAAGAGUCCCAUGUUGCACAGACUGAGCCAGCCAGGGGUCCCUUGAUCUAUUUCCUCUAGAUGUUCAUUCAAGAUUCUGCCCAGCAUUGAACUCCUGGCAGGUGUUAAGGAUGAAGCAGCUUGUUCCUGUGUGUUCCCCCAAAGCCUCCAGAGUUAACAGGUGCUGUUACCCAUAACCUGCUUGCUUGUUCAAAGGUCCAGUGCCUUUUGUGGAGCCCAAGAGUGACUUGAGGAACCCUGAGCCAUUUUUCUGCUGGACUCCAGUCGAAGUCAGAGGUCUGAAGAAAGAACAAGGCCUGUAUCCUAGGAAUCCAGUUCUUCAGGGAUAUCAAAAGGAAGUUUUCAGGUCAUUUUUUGUACAACCUAGUAGAAGUGAGCAUACAGUUGUUUAAACCUCUCUAAAUAAAAGUUUAAACUUUA